GCCUUGGUAGCUCAAUUGGCUAGAGCGUGGGACUUUUACUAAUCUCCUUGAUUUCGAAGGAUUUCUUGAAAUCCCAAGGUUGCGGGUUCGACCCCCGCCUGAGGCG